rnacentral:rRNA from 1 species
GCCUACGGGGCGCAGCAGUAGGGAAUCUUCCACAAUGGGCGAAGGCCUGAUGGAGCAACGCCGCGUGGGUGAAGAAGGUCUUCGGAUCGUAAAACCCUGUUGUUAGAGAAGAAAGUGCGUGAGAGUAACUGUUCACGUUUCGACGGUAUCUAACCAGAAAGCCACGGCUAACUACGUGCCAGCAGCCGCGGUAAUACGUAGGUGGCAAGCGUUAUCCGGAUUUAUUGGGCGUAAAGAGAACGCAGGCGGUCUUUUAAGUCUGAUGUGAAAGCCUUCGGCUUAACCGGAGUAGUGCAUUGGAAACU